CAACGUUUGGUGUUGCAUUGGAGCAACUUUACACCAAAAAAGGUGCAAAAUGGUGCAAUGGCGUAACCAUUGGAGAUGCCCUAAGAACUAUUUUUUUGCUGAAUAAUACACAAGGAAACAUCAAUGCUCGAAAUGCAAGCAUGGAUUUGAGAAGUGUUUCGUGAUGGAAAAGCAAACAACGAAUAAAGGGCGAUUAUAUCUUUGUUACAAUGACAAUUGCGAAUUUUAGAUUGGGUUAUUAAAGAAGGAUCAAGCGGUCAAUCGUCUAGUGAUAACGGUUCACCAGUAAACCUUGUGACAAAUGAAAAUAUUGAAGCAAUGUUAGAGACGUUGCAAUCUCGAGUUCGACUGAACAAUGAAAAAGACCUACAUAUUUCGGUGAACUUCAAAAUAUGCAAGGCCAAUUGUAGUGCGGAAGCGAAUGCAAAAGGGAAGCAAUCGACAGAUUAUUAGAUGAAAAUUUACUCUCGUUUUUCAACAUAACUUUUGUGUACGUAGCAUUAUCUCGAGUUAGCUAUCAGUAUCUUCAUGUAGCUAUGGUCUACUGAUUGAGUUGGAUUAAGAAUUUGUAAUAUAUUAAAGACAUCAUUGCCAC
rnacentral:lncRNA from 1 species